UGGGCCCAAGAAAGACUUCUUGACCUUUCCUUCCUUCAUCCUUGUAAAGGCUGGACUCCCAGCAAUUCAGAAGCUGAGGCAGAACUGGGAAUUUGGAAUACUUGGUGAAUUCAAGGCAAGCUUGGUCUAUAAGCAAGGCCAUUUCAACAAGCAAGUAAGGGGCUGGGAGUUUAGCGUAGUUGGUAGAGUGCUUGCCCAGCUGACACUAAGCCCUGGGUCAGUUCUUACAACAUGGGGCUGGAGAGAUGACUCAGAAGUCAUCUUACUGCAGCUGGGACAUGCCAACACGCCAGAGGCAGAGGCUAGCCUGGUCUACAGGUCAAGUUCCAAGAUAGCCUCUCCUGGCCACUUUGGGCAACUGUAUAGAUGUGAGGCAUAUAAGCUUAUGUGAGCUCACAUUACAUGCACAUACAUACAUACAUAAACAGAUCUCAAUCUCUGUAGUACCACAAAUGUGUUAGCACAUGCUUAUGAUCCUAGCACUUGCUGAUGGAGGCAGGAUUCAAGUCCUCCUCUACUACAUAACAAGUUUGAGGCUGCCCUUGAGCCCACUGUGAUGCUGGACACGACCUUCCUCUCCGUAUCCUCCCGCCUCCAUCUCCUGAGUGCUGGGGUUAUAGGUAUAGAGCACUUUUGGGGUAGCCCAGGCUGGCCUUAAAUUUGUGGCAAUCCUCCUGCCUCAGCCACAAUCCUCCUAGCACCUCACCCGGCAGGGUGGAUGGAGCUCUCGGCCAGCAAGACUGGGGUCCCUUCCUCCCUGCACUGCACUGUCGGUUCCUGGCAGGAUUAUGCUUCGUGUCUGUCCCCGUGCCAGGCUGUACUGGUGCCUCAGGUCCCUGGGCAGUUGAGUUGCAUCUUUCUCACCUUCCUUAACUGGCUCGGGGGCUUCAUGUUGUGGGGUUGGAUUUGGCUUCUCCCACCUCACAGGAUGUAUCUGUAUUUAGGUUGCCUGUGUCUAAUGCCUGCACAGUGUGGUGACUACAUUUGUCCUUCAGGUUUUGUGUCCUGUGUCUGCCUGUCUGUCUGUCUCUCUCUUUUGAGUCUCAAGUAGCCCAGACUAGCCACUAACACGGAGAAGAAUAACCAGAAUAAACGUAACCUUCUGAUGCCCGCUCGCUACUUCUCAGGUCUUGUCGUUACAGGCAUACACUGCCACGUUAGAUUUAUGCCAUGCUGGGGCCUGGAAGUGUCAGGCAAAGAGUCUGCUGGCUGAGCCACGUCUCAGCCUUGGGGUUUCCUGCUUCUUGGUGCCAUUCUGGGCAUUGACAUCUCAACCCUCCCCAGUACCAGGAUGAGCUGCGUGUGUCCCCAUGCCAGCUCCUUUUCUCUCCUGUUGCACCAUGCAGCCCACUGGACGUGGGGCUGUGUUCUUCUGCAAGUCCCUCCCCUAUUUGGGCUUCUUUGGCCUCAUAUGAGGUCUGAAUUCAGCUCCUGGGGUCCAGACUCAGUGACAGAGGUUCCUGGUGGACCUUGGGGGUUAAUGGCCUCCCAGGCUGGUGAGCAGGGACUAUCAGAGUUCCGCUUUACCCAGUGCCCACACAUCUCUGCACCACACCGGUCCAGUUUCCCAUCUUCCCUAGAAACUUGUGCUGGUCUACCUGAUGCAUGGUUGCCUUGCCUGCUGCUGUCUGCCCACAGUGCUGUUGCGUCAGGGUCUGGGCCAUGCACGUGGCUGUCUGUUAGCCCACCCUGGACUUCUCUCUCUCACCCCCACUUCAGACUCGGCAGGGAAGGAUCCCUCAUUGGUCCCUGCUUCCUUGGGCUCUCCCACUUGGGCCAGGCCUUGCAAACCCUGGGAAUGGGGAGGGCCCUGUGUCCUCUGGUCACUGUGGCACCGUGAUACUGUGGCACUGUGGAGGUAGAGCCUUGAGACCCCAAGGCUCCUCCCAACCUUGUCUCUGGGGAGCAGCCUCAUCUCCCAGGCACAACUGGAACCUGUCCAUGACAGACCCACUCCUGCCCACCCUGGGUGAGCCGUGACAUGGGAACCACUGCCACUCAUCCCACCUGGUGCCGUCGGCUUCCCAGAAGGCUUCCUCUUCAUGUCUGCCUGCUGCCACAUGACCUAGGCAUGACAGCUUGAACCCCAUAUGGGACUUUUCCAGGUCCUGUCUCCUCCCUGCAACAGGGCCUGAGCCCAGAAGCACGCGUGAUGGCCCUGGCACAACCCCAGACAGUGGCAAAGUGAAGGUGAGGUCACUGCUCGCCUGGAGCAGUUACAGACCUGACAUCUGUGGCCAUGUCUCACAGCCUCCGGCCUGAAGACUCAGGAAUCCCAAUCCCGAGUGCAGUGUGAGGCGCUGUCCUCCAGCUCCUCUCAGGCUAAUAUGACAGAGGUCUGUCGUCCACUGCGGUGGCCAUGUCAUUCUCUUGAGGCCAGUUGGCACUGUCUUCCCAUGUGGGAUCUUAAAGUAUGUUUGUGUCUGUCCCCGUAUGUUGGGCAUAUGGCCCUGGAAGGCCACCUGGCUGCUCCAGCCCCAGUGGUGUUCCAUGUAGACAUGGGGGGCAUUCUUUCUGUAAGUUUCCAGCUUGCCAGAACCACAGUUAACAGCCCCCCCUCUGCUGCUGUGUUCUGGCAAGCUCCGGCCCCUGGCAGCCUCGGGCAGCCGCGCUCAAAGCUGAGUGUGCACAUGUGAUUCUCCAUGCCGGGAAGACAGCUCAGUCUGCGUCUGGUCUGCAGAGACGUGCUCUCAGAUGGAGCAGGGGAUUGCUUAAGUCUGCCUUGGAUGUCAGUUUCAGAGUGCAAUCAGGUUGGGGGAUGAGGCUUGGUCAGUAGAGGGCUCUCCUGGCGUGCACAAAGCCCUAGGCUCCAGUCCCUACAUGGCACAGACUAGGCAUAGUGGUUCAGGUUUAUAAUCCCAGCACUUGAGAGGUGGGGGCAGGAGGAUCCAAAGUUCAAGGUCAUCCUUGGCUUCAUAACAAGUUUGAGGCCAACCUGGGAAGCGUGCAGUGUCGUGAAAGCCUGUCUCAAGAAAGUUAAAAAAUAACAAACAUUAAAAAACAUGGGGUUUCUGAUGCUCGCAGCCCCAGCUGCUCCACAGCCGGCGUGGCUUCUGUAGGUGGCAUUUGGAGUCUGGGAGCUGCCCAGUGACACCGUGUGGUACCACUCUGUGUGGGAGCCCUAGACCAGGCUGUUGGGGUGUUCUCACCUGACAAGCCGACCAUGUGGGUCUGCUGCUGCUGGCUCAGCUGGAAGAGCUGUGACCUGGAUGCUGAUCUAGGUGGCUGCUGAGUCCCAGCUCCAUUGAGCACAUUCAGAAGCCAGGAGCUGGGAACCGCAUGAGGCCUGUAGAAGAUGGCCAAGGUGCAUGGGCCCCACCAUAGCGUUGGCAGCAUGGGGGGGGCCACAGGCCAUUUCAGAAAGGAAGAUGUUGUCUGGUGUUCACUUGGUGGGUCUGUCUGUCUGGAUGUGGAGCUAAAGGUGAUCUGACCUGGGAAUUCUGUCCUUAUCCCAGAGCCUCUAAUUAGCCAGGUGGUGGUGUGGUGGUGGGGGGGCAUUCCUUUAUUCCCAGCGCUUGGGAGAUAGAGGCAGGAUGAUCUCUGUGAGUUCAAGGCCAGUCCUGGUCUACAGGAUGGCAGGUUCCAGGACAGCCAAAAUUACACAGAGAAACCCUGUCUCAAAAAACAAAACAAGGGCUGGAGAGAUGACUCAGUGGUUAAGAGCACUGGUUGCUCCUCCAGAGGACCCAGGUUCAAAUUCCAGCACCCACACAGCAGCUAACAACUGUCUAUAACUCUAGUUCCAGGGAUCUAGCACCCUCAUACAGACAUGCCUAGCAAUGCGCAUGAAAUGAAAAUAAGGAGACUAUUA
ensembl:sense_intronic D430018E03Rik RIKEN cDNA D430018E03 gene